UACAGAGGGUGCGAGCGUUGUCCGGAAUCACUGGGCGUAAAGGGCGCGUAGGUGGUGGCUUAAGCGUGCGGUGAAAGCUCGGGGCUCAACUCCGAGUCGGCCGUGCGAACUGGGCUCACUGGAGCAUAGUAGAGGCAGGUGGAAUUCCGGGUGUAGCGGUGGAAUGCGUAGAGAUCCGGAAGAACACCGGUGGCGAAGGCGACUCUCUGGCCUGUAACUGACGCUGAGGCGCGAAAGCGUGGGUAGCGAACAGG
rnacentral:rRNA from 1 species